UGCAGUCGAACGGUAGCACAGAGAGCUUGCUCUCGGGUGACGAGUGGCGGACGGGUGAGUAAUGUCUGGGAAACUGCCUGAUGGAGGGGGAUAACUACUGGAAACGGUAGCUAAUACCGCAUAACGUCGCAAGACCAAAGAGGGGGACCUUCGGGCCUCUUGCCAUCAGAUGUGCCCAGAUGGGAUUAGCUAGUAGGUGGGGUAACGGCUCACCUAGGCGACGAUCCCUAGCUGGUCUGAGAGGAUGACCAGCCACACUGGAACUGAGACACGGUCCAGACUCCUACGGGAGGCAGCAGUGGGGAAUAUUGCACAAUGGGCGCAAGCCUGAUGCAGCCAUGCCGCGUGUAUGAAGAAGGCCUUCGGGUUGUAAAGUACUUUCAGCGGGGAGGAAGGCGAUAAGGUUAAUAACCUUGUCGAUUGACGUUACCCGCAGAAGAAGCACCGGCUAACUCCGUGCCAGCAGCCGCGGUAAUACGGAGGGUGCAAGCGUUAAUCGGAAUUACUGGGCGUAAAGCGCACGCAGGCGGUCUGUCAAGUCGGAUGUGAAAUCCCCGGGCUCAACCUGGGAACUGCAUUCGAAACUGGCAGGCUAGAGUCUUGUAGAGGGGGGUAGAAUUCCAGGUGUAGCGGUGAAAUGCGUAGAGAUCUGGAGGAAUA
rnacentral:rRNA from 1 species